rnacentral:tRNA from 10 species
CUCCCAAAGUGCUGAGAUUACAGGCAUGAGACAUCAUGCCUGGCCGGUUUUUACACUUUUUAAUUUUGGGGGGAAAAAAUCAAAAGAAUAGCAUUUUGUAGCAUUUCGUGACACAUGAACAUUAUAUAAACUUCAGGUUUUGGUGUCCGUGAAGUUUUAUGGGAACACAAGCGUGACCAUUUGUUUACAUAUUGUCUGUGGCUAAUAACAAGGGGAGCUUGGUGGCCCCCAUCCCCCGACUCCUCAUGGAGUUGCGUAGAUGGCUCCAGGGCUUGUUGGAGUCAUCCAGGGUCCCAGUGGCUGGCCUGUGGUUCUGGUCAAUGGAUCUGAGACUGUAUAGCCUGCAAAGUCUAAAAUGUUUAGUAUUUAGCCUUUUACAGAAAAUGUUUGCCGACCCCUGGCAUAAAUGCCUGACAACAGGUGAUCAGUAAAAUGUAUCCUGUUAUUCGUAUUAUUAUGACUGUUACUAUUAUCCCUUCUGGCCUCAUUUUAACUUUCAAAUAAUCAUGCUCAUGGCUUAAUGGAGAGAUUCUAAACCUGAGGUCCAUGGAAGGGUUUCAGGGGGCAGGGGGUCUCUGGACCCCUGCAGUUUGGCAGAUGGGGUCUUUUUUGCAGGGAGAGGCUCCAUCCAACCCCUGGUUCUCAAAGGGGUUUGUGUCAUCAAAUAGGUAAAGAAGUGUAGGUUUGAUUCUUCCUUGACCCAGGAAAAUCGAUCCACACUUUCCCUGGGCUUUCCGGAGGCCAUAUCCUUGAAGAUGAGCUAUUUGGGGGCCCACCCACUGCCUGUGUUGGAGGGGCCUGCAGCUCAACAGGAGUAAGGACCCCCAGCUUUGGAGCCAGUGGUCCCAGGCUGAGUCCGAACCUUGGCGGCCCCUGGCUGGACCCCUUCUCUGACCCUCAGUUCCCUUGUUGGGUUGCGGCAAAGAUGAAUUCGGUAAUGUCUGUUGGUCACUUGGCACAGCGUCUGGUACACAGUACGUACUGCAGAGAUGGUAGUGGUUAUUAAUCUUAUUGUCCUUGCACAUUCAAAAGUGCUUUCCUCAGCUCACUCAGACCCAGGAAAAGCUGCGCCUGUGUUUGGCUGAAUUUGAGGUCUGAAUACCCCUUGAGGGCCCUUAAUCUCUAUCUUAGGUACCAGCAACUAAGGCAAGUCCACUAAACAUUCACAUGAUCAAUAUGCAAAGAAGCACGACCCUCAGUGAAGUUUUUAAAAGUUCAGUGACCUCAUUUGAACAGAGACAAUGCUACUAAGACGGAAAUAAAUGGGAUCUGCAGCUUCACUGUUGCGAAAGCCCUGGCUGUUUCCGAGUGUUUGGUGUUUCUCCCGGAGGGGUUACUCUGGAGCUCAAGCUUGGGUCUACUUUCCCCCUAAAACGCUUCUUGUGGAGCCCCUUUUCCCCGCUCAGUCACCCAGAGCUAACGGGUUUAUUCCAAAGCCCAGCAACCACCACCGGGAGGGGACAGGGUGUCCUUGCAGCCAAGCUGUCCUGGAGAUGGGCGUCCUGCACAGACUGGUUCAUGUUCAGUCCGGCAGGCACUGCCCCCCCCCCCACCAGUUGCUGGGCAUAGGCCCAUUCAGGGGAGGCCUGGUGGCUCCAGACAACAGCUGGAGACCAGAAAUGAAGACUUCCAGCUACAAGCAAAUGUUGCUGCUUCUUAAGGUUGAAGUAUUCUAUCUCUAAAGUGUCCCUUUGAGCUGAGCGAAAACAAUCCCCCAUCGGGACCCGACCUCGCCACAGAGGAACAAAAGCUUCCCAGUUCUCUGAGUUCUAGAGACUGUCUGCAGUUUCAGGCACGCAUGGCCCAGAGGGGAAAGAAGAUGGUCAUGUGACUUCCAAGCCUGGAGACAAGGUCACCCUUGUCCAGCCCCGUUCCCCUUCACAGGAAGAAGAGCCUUUGACUGCCUGACAAAGGAUGGGGCUGGUGCUGCCCUGGUGCUGGCUCCCGGGUGGUGGAUUCUCCAAUAUCUGCAUCUGUCAGGUUCAGGAGAACACAGGGCAAGCGUAAUUUGUCCCUAAGAAAUUCACCAGCAAGGCCGCCCUGUUUGUUUUCCACCAGCCAUUUCCUGCCAUUAAAAAUAUUUUCCUUCAUGGAAGGAAAGAGCCUCUAGGAGAGAGAAGGAAAGCCCAGUGAAGAUAAACAGUCAAGUGAAGCUGACCUUUAAAGGGGCCAUCAUGGGUCGGACGCGGUGGCUCACGCCUGUAAUACCAGCACUUUGGGAGGGCAAGGUGGGCGGAUCAUCAGGUCAAGAGAUCGAGACCAUCCUGGCCAACAUGGUGAAACCCCGUCUCUACUAAAAACACAAAAAUUAGCUGGGCAUGGUGGCACGUGCCUGUAGUCCCAGCUACUCGGGAGGCUGAGGCAGGAGAAUCGCUUGAACCCAGGAGGCGGAGGUUGCAGUGAGCUGAAAUAGCGCCACUGCACUCCAGCCUGGAGACAGAGCGAGACUCCGUCUCAAAAAAAAAAAAGGUGCCAUUAUGUUGCAACAUCUGCGGCAGCAUGGGGGCUGGCUGCAGGGUGGAGGCAGAAGUUAGCCAGGGAGGGGACAGUGGUGAAGUGAAGGGCACGGACUCCAUGUCGAGGCAAUGCUUCCAGGGAUUCUGAUGUGGUAGGUCUGGGGUGGGGCCCGGGAACCUGAAGUUUAACAGAGCACAUAGGGAUUCCCAGGCAAGUGGUCAAAUGCAUCCCACCGAGAGCCACGUCUGCGGUGGUAAUAUUCUUUAGCUGGACUGGCCUGUGCCCUCUUUUCUCAGAGAACACUAUCCUAGCAAAAACUGGCUGGAUGAGGGAGAUUUCACCUGGCCAAGCUGUCUCCUGAGAAUCUGGAACUGGGACUCAAAGCACGAGCAGUCUGUGUGUGCCAGUCAGGUUAGAAGCUUUGCUCACCAGGCGCGGUGGCUCACACCUGUAAUCCCAGCACUUUGGGAGGCC